rnacentral:rRNA from 1 species
UACGAAGGGGGCUAGCAUUGUUCGGAAUCACUGGGCGUAAAGGGCGCGUAGGCGGCUUUAUAAGUCGGGGGUGAAAGCCUGUGGCUCAACCACAGAAUUGCCUUCGAUACUGUAGAGCUUGAGACCGGAAGAGGUAAGUGGAACUGCGAGUGUAGAGGUGAAAUUCGUAGAUAUUCGCAAGAACACCAGUGGCGAAGGCGGCUUACUGGUCCGGUUCUGACGCUGAGGCGCGAAAGCGUGGGGAGCAAACAGG